rnacentral:misc_RNA from 1 species
GAUUAAUAGUCCGAGUGGUAGCAGUGGCUACGAUGUGAUGGUGGUGGCAACUUUGGUGGUUAGGUGGUGACGGUGGUGGUGGCAAGGUGAGGUAGUGGUAGUGGUGGUCGUAGAGGUGACAGUGGCUUAGUGGUGAUAACUAUGGUGGCAGCAGCGGUGGUAGUGACAGGGUGGCGGAAGUGAUGGUAGCAGAAGUGCUGAUCGGGUAAUGGUGGUGGUUGCAGAGUUGAUAAUAAAUGAAAAAACUUAUGAUGUAAUGAUCAUUAUAUUACAUUAUAUUAUGCCAUUCCAUCCCAUCAAAUAUUUUUUUAUUACUAAACAACAAAAUCAAGCAAUGUGAUGAUUACAUUAUAAUUCUUGUUAGGUCAUACCAAACAUGGCCAUAAAUUAGAUAAAUGGAAAAACAAAAGAAUAUAAAUUUCCAGCUAAACAAGCCUAGAAUUACCCGAAAAGGACCAAUUUUCGCAUCAGAUUAUCAAUCCCAGAUAACAGAAAAGUGAAAACUUUCUAUGUGAAGCUUCAAAAUUUGAUCAAAACAACAAAAAACGCAAAACUGCUCAUCAUCAUCAUCUUAUUCUU